GGGGUUCCUUUAAAUGCUGCUGAGUCCUUCAGUAGCUCCCAUGCAGGGCCCCAGGUGACUAUGACAGUGGGAAAUCAAUUUUCAGAUUUCCUGGGUCGUAUGGGGGCCACUUACUUGGUUUUAAAUACCUGGCUUUCUUAACUUUGUUCUGGGACUAUAUUAGUACCUGGGGUGUCUGGAGAAACCUGGAAAAAGCCUUUUCUGCCGACCCUAGACUGUCAGAUGAGGAAAACCCAUCUAAGGUAUAGCUCUCUAUACGAUGCUGCAUUCCCUUUCUGGAUGAGAUUUACUAACUAAAUGAAAUGCCAAGGUUGCCUUUGCAGCUGGACAAGUGAACAUUAAAGUACCACCAGAGCAACCCCGCCCAUUGCAGGCUCUAGUGCUUCAAUCCCCAGAAGAGCAACCUGCAUCCAUUCCAGAAGAGAUGCUGUGAAGGGUUGGAUGGACAUCUCGUUAAUGAGGAUUUCUUACAUUUUGGCAAAAGCAGUGUUGCUGUGAACAUUGGGGUGCAUGAAUCUUUUGGAACUAGUUUCCUCCAGAUGUAUGCCCAUGCAUAGGACUGCUGGAUUGUAUGUAUUCCGAGGAUAUGUCAUGAGAUGAUUAAAAUCUAAAAUUAUUUUCCUGCUCUGUCUUGCUCAGGAGAUCCCCAGCCAUCGACACUGUCAUGGACCAGGGAUCUGGGACCACCUGAAGCAGAUGAUCCUCCCUUUGACUCUUCACCUCACUUCCUCUCAUCUCACCAUGAAGGCACUGCAUCAUCUCAAGUAGGUUGUCCUCAGUGGAGACUGUAUCCAAGUUUGACAUGGGGAUGUUUAUGCACACACACCUUCCUGCUGCCUGGAGUACACCCUGCCGUAUAUCCAGUUGCAGCAGCAUCUCUGACGACACCCACACAAGUAAAGAAUGCACAGAAGGAUCAAAUCAAGGUCAGACUACACUGGAGACUGACCACCGAGGGAUUUGCAGACAAGACGAUGGUGUCGUCAAUGAGGCCCCAGCUUGUAGCAUCUACUCUUACUGGCUUCUCUCCAGCGAGGGCAUGCUUGCAAAUCAUAAAGGAUCGGGAGAAGGCAUAGCUUGGUGGCAAGCAGCUUCAGCACCAGCGAAGCUUGACUCUUGUUAUCAGACUUGGAGCAGGUUAAUCAACUUUUCUAAACUUCGGUUUCCUUAUGUAUAAAAUGUUAUGAUACAUACAAUACUAACCACAUGGUAUUGUUGUGAGGACUAAGUGGAUUAAUACAUCUAAUAAAACAUCUAGUACACCUGACACAUAGCAAGUGGUCAAUAAAGGAAAACUGUUAUGGAAUCUCCAUCACAGAGAUGAAGGAAUUCCUUAAGAAUGCAGGGCAAUAGUUUUUCACUACAAAUAAAACAAAUGGAGCUAUCAUCUAAUUACUGUCUUGCAGUAAUAUCAUUUAGGUGCGCCCUGAAAGAAAACGGAAUCAACUAAUGCUAUUAUUCCAAGACUUAGCAAACCAAGGAGCUCAGCUCAGUUUUUCUGAUCUGAACACAAAUUUUAAGAGUCAUAACCAGAAGCUACACUUUGAUGCAGGCAUGACACAAAUU